ACUAAGCGUACACGGUGGAUGCCCUGGCAGUCAGAGGCGAUGAAGGACGUGCUAAUCUGCGAAAAGCGCCGGCGAGGUGAUAUGAACCCUUGACCCGGCGAUGUCCGAAUGGGGAAACCCAGUGUGAUUCGUCACACUAUCGUUAACUGAAUACAUAGGUUAACGAGGCGAACCGGGGGAACUGAAACAUCUAAGUACCCCGAGGAAAAGAAAUCAACCGAGAUUCCCCCAGUAGCGGCGAGCGAACGGGGAGCAGCCCGGAGUCUGAAUCAGCUUGUGUGUUAGUGGAACGGUCUGGAAAGUCCGACGGUACAGGGUGAUAGUCCCGUACACGAAAGCACACUUGCUGUGAACUCGAAGAGUAGGGCGGGACACGUGGUAUCCUGUCUGAAUAUGGGGGGACCAUCCUCCAAGGCUAAAUACUCCUGACUGACCGAUAGUGAACCAGUACCGUGAGGGAAAGGCGAAAAGAACCCCGGCGAGGGGAGUGAAAAAGAACCUGAAACCGUGUACGUACAAGCAGUGGGAGCACCUUCGUGGUGUGACUGCGUACCUUUUGUAUAAUGGGUCAGCGACUUAUAUUCUGUAGCAAGGUUAACCGUAUAGGGGAGCCGAAGGGAAACCGAGUCUUAACUGGGCGUUAAGUUGCAGGGUAUAGACCCGAAACCCGGUGAUCUAGCCAUGGGCAGGUUGAAGGUUGGGUAACACUAACUGGAGGACCGAACCGACUAAUGUUGAAAAAUUAGCGGAUGACCUGUGGCUGGGGGUGAAAGGCCAAUCAAACCGGGAGAUAGCUGGUUCUCCCCGAAAGCUAUUUAGGUAGCGCCUCGUGAACUCAUCUUCGGGGGUAGAGCACUGUUUCGGCUAGGGGGCCAUCCCGGCUUACCAACCCGAUGCAAACUACGAAUACCGAAGAAUGUUAUCACGGGAGACACACGGCGGGUGCUAACGUCCGUCGUGAAGAGGGAAACAACCCAGACCGCCAGCUAAGGUCCCAAAGUCAUGGUUAAGUGGGAAACGAUGUGGGAAGGCACAGACAGCCAGGAUGUUGGCUUAGAAGCAGCCAUCAUUUAAAGAAAGCGUAAUAGCUCACUGGUCGAGUCGGCCUGCGCGGAAGAUGUAACGGGGCUAAACCAUGCACCGAAGCUGCGGCAGCGACACUAUGUGUUGUUGGGUAGGGGAGCGUUCUGUAAGCCGUUGAAGGUGUGCUGUGAGGCAUGCUGGAGGUAUCAGAAGUGCGAAUGCUGACAUAAGUAACGAUAAAGCGGGUGAAAAGCCCGCUCGCCGGAAGACCAAGGGUUCCUGUCCAACGUUAAUCGGGGCAGGGUGAGUCGACCCCUAAGGCGAGGCCGAAAGGCGUAGUCGAUGGGAAACAGGUUAAUAUUCCUGUACUUGGUGUUACUGCGAAGGGGGGACGGAGAAGGCUAUGUCAGCCGGGCGACGGUUGUCCCGGUUUAAGCAUGUAGGCGGAGGUUCCAGGUAAAUCCGGUACCUUAUUAACGCUGAGGUGUGAUGACGAGGCACUACGGUGCUGAAGUGAUAAAUGCCCUGCUUCCAGGAAAAGCCUCUAAGCAUCAGGUAACACGAAAUCGUACCCCAAACCGACACAGGUGGUCAGGUAGAGAAUACCAAGGCGCUUGAGAGAACUCGGGUGAAGGAACUAGGCAAAAUGGUGCCGUAACUUCGGGAGAAGGCACGCUGAUGUGUAGGUGAAGUCCCUGCGGACGGAGCUGAAAUCAGUCGAAGAUACCAGCUGGCUGCAACUGUUUAUUAAAAACACAGCACUGUGCAAACACGAAAGUGGACGUAUACGGUGUGACGCCUGCCCGGUGCCGGAAGGUUAAUUGAUGGGGUUAGCUGUAAGGCGAAGCUCUUGAUCGAAGCCCCGGUAAACGGCGGCCGUAACUAUAACGGUCCUAAGGUAGCGAAAUUCCUUGUCGGGUAAGUUCCGACCUGCACGAAUGGCGUAAUGAUGGCCAGGCUGUCUCCACCCGAGACUCAGUGAAAUUGAACUCGCUGUGAAGAUGCAGUGUACCCGCGGCAAGACGGAAAGACCCCGUGAACCUUUACUAUAGCUUGACACUGAACACUGGUCCUUGAUGUGUAGGAUAGGUGGGAGGCUUUGAAGCGUGGACGCCAGUCUGCGUGGAGCCGCCCUUGAAAUACCACCCUUUAAUGGCUGGUGUUCUAACGUAGACCCGUAAUCCGGGUUGCGGACAGUGUCUGGUGGGUAGUUUGACUGGGGCGGUCUCCUCCCAAAGAGUAACGGAGGAGCACGAAGGUUGGCUAAUCCUGGUCGGACAUCAGGAGGUUAGUGCAAUGGCAUAAGCCAGCUUGACUGCGAGCGUGACGGCGCGAGCAGGUGCGAAAGCAGGUCAUAGUGAUCCGGUGGUUCUGAAUGGAAGGGCCAUCGCUCAACGGAUAAAAGGUACUCCGGGGAUAACAGGCUGAUACCGCCCAAGAGUUCAUAUCGACGGCGGUGUUUGGCACCUCGAUGUCGGCUCAUCACAUCCUGGGGCUGAAGUAGGUCCCAAGGGUAUGGCUGUUCGCCAUUUAAAGUGGUACGCGAGCUGGGUUUAGAACGUCGUGAGACAGUUCGGUCCCUAUCUGCCGUGGGCGCUGGAGAAUUGAGGGGGGCUGCUCCUAGUACGAGAGGACCGGAGUGGACGCAUCACUGGUGUUCGGGUUGUCAUGCCAAUGGCACUGCCCGGUAGCUAAAUGCGGAAGAGAUAAGUGCUGAAAGCAUCUAAGCACGAAACUUGCCCCGAGAUGAGUUCUCCCUGAGACUUUAAGUCUCCUGAAGGAACGUUGAAGACGACGACGUUGAUAGGUCGGGUGUGUAAGCGCAGCGAUGCGUUGAGCUAACCGAUACUAAUGAACCGUGAGGCUUAACC
rnacentral:rRNA from 1 species